UACGUAGGUGACAAGCGUUGUCCGGAUUUACUGGGCGUAAAGAGCGCGCAGGCGGUCGAUCAAGUCGAGUGUGAAAGCCCCCGGCUCAACUGGGGAGGGUCAUUCGAUACUGAUCGACUCGAAGGCAGGAGAGGGUAGUGGAAUUCCCGGUGUAGUGGUGAAAUGCGUAGAUAUCGGGAGGAACACCAGUGGCGAAGGCGGCAUUCUGGACCGAAACUGACGCUGAGGCGCGAAAGCCAGGGGAGCAAAGCGGG
rnacentral:rRNA from 1 species